CUUCUUUUUUUUUUUUUUAACCUUAUGAAGCAGUUUAAUUAGGUUGUUAACAAUUAGAACACCAGUUUGUGAGGGUACAUGCCGUUCGUCAGGGAGAACUGAGACCGCAGGUAGCCCUGGAGCUGGGGGACAGCUUUGAUCUUUGGCAAAAUCUGCGAGUCCACAGCUUUCUGAUCAGCCUUUCGCUGCUCUGUAAUUUCGUAUUUCUCCUUCUCUGUGUCAAAGAUCUCACCCUCCUGAUGCCUGGGCUUGCGAAGUGGCUUCUUCUUGAAGUAAGCAUCAGUCAGGUGUUUGGGAAUUUUAACCUUGCUGAUAUCAACUUUUGUAGAGUCACAAGUAGCAAGCCACUGCCCAGCUGCUUGAGGAAAACCACUCUCUUGCCCCUGUGGCGCCCAGUGAGGAUGAUCAGGACAGUCCCGGGAGUGAUGCUGGAGCGCAGCCUCCUCACGUGCUGGCUGAAGGGCUUCUUGCCAUGGCUCAGCAGCUUCCGAGGUACGUCUUCAGUAGGGUAAUACCUAGGCAUUUUUCGAAGCUUCACCACCCGGGUGCCACCGUUCUUGUCCCCACCAACUGUUUUUGUGACGGUAGCAAGGACCUUUUCUUUCUUCUUCUUCUUCUCAACCUUUGUCUUGGCAGCAGAGUAUUUCCUUUUGUACAAGGCCUUUCUGGAAUACAUAGCAGAUCGGGAAUACCUGCCGAUUCCUCUCACCAGGACAGGGUUCCGGCUGCAAUGGGGCUUACUCUUCCUCAGCUUUUUAGCCUUAGAACUACUCUUUUUGACCGCACCAGCGGGCGGGGCCCGGGGGGCAGUAGCAUCACCGCCAGCCUUCUUGGCUGCAGGUUUCUGCUCCUUUUUAUCAGGCUUCUCCGCCUUUUCACCCGCCAUCUUGCAAGAC
rnacentral:lncRNA from 1 species